rnacentral:rRNA from 1 species
CGUAGGAGACGAGCGUUAUCCGGAUUUACUGGGCGUAAAGCGUGUGCAGGCGGUUCGGCAAGUUGGAUGUGAAAUCUCCCGGCUCAACUGGGAGGGGUCGUUCAAUAUUACCGAACUUGAGGUCAUCAGAGGAAGGUGGAAUUCCGGGUGUAGUGGUGAAAUGCGUAGAUAUCCGGAGGAACACCAGUGGCGAAGGCGGCCUUCUGGGAUGAUCCUGACGCUCAGACACGAAAGCUAGGGGAGCGAACGGGAUUAGAGACCCCGGUAGUCCUAGCUGUAAACGAUGUAGACUUGGCGUCGGAGGGUUCAAAACCUUCGGUGUCGUAGCUAACGCGAUAAGUCUACCGCCUGGGGACUACGGCCGCAAGGUUA